UACCUGGUUGAUCCUGCCAGUAGUCAUAUGCUUGUCUCAAAGAUUAAGCCAUGCAUGUGUAAGCACACACUGUUUUAAAAGUGAAGCCGCGAAUGGCUCAUUACAACAGCCACAGUUUAUUAGAACUUACAAUCAUGGAUAACUGUGGUAAUUCUAGAGCUAAUACACGCACAAAAACUUCAACUGAAUUGGUUGAAGUGCUUUUAUUAGAACAAAAACCGAACGGCGUUUGACGAAUGUUGAACGUCGAAACUGUUUGGUGAAUCUGAAUAACUAUUUCUGAUCGCAUGGUCUAGCACCGGCGACAUCACUUUCAAGUGUCUGCCUUAUCAACCUUCGAUGGUAGUCUAUGCGACUACCAUGGUGAUAACGGGUAACGGAGAAUCAGGGUUCGACUCCGGAGAGGGAGCCUGAGAAACGGCUACCACAUCCAAGGAAGGCAGCAGGCGCGCAAAUUACCCACUCCCAGCUUGGGGAGGUAGUGACGAAAAAUAACGAGACGAUUCUCGUUUGAGAAACGUUAUCGAAAUGAGUACGCUUUACACACGCUAACGAGUAGCAAUUGGAGGGCAAGUCUGGUGCCAGCAGCCGCGGUAAUUCCAGCUCCCAAUAGCGUAUAUUAAAGUUGCUGCCGUAAAACGCUCGUAGUUGAAAUUGUGGUCCUUAGAACAACCAAAGCCCCCCCUUAC
rnacentral:ncRNA from 1 species